GUCCCCCCCCAAUAACCACCCACCGCUUAGGGGGGUGGGAGGGAGGGGGACGCGCCCGAAAAGCAGUGGUCAGGCCGCGAUUCCGGCUCCUGGGCGAAUGGGACAUACCACCGCCUCUAGGACCGGCCGGUAGGCUGGCCUAACGCACCAUGUAUUAUUCAGGUUGACCUCGGAUCAGGUA
rnacentral:misc_RNA from 1 species